UUGGUGAAGUAAGAACUUUUUUUC
rnacentral:piRNA from 1 species